ensembl:lncRNA
CUGACAAUUCUGACAGGUAUUUCAUUGCUUACGACCAUGACUCCGGGACACACAAAACACAUUAAAGUUGCUGAAGUAGAAGUACACGUUGUCUCGGAUUUAUGAUUGUGAGCAGUAACACGUAUGAUACCCAGCAUCUUACGGCAGCUCUGGACUACUGGGUCAAUCUCUGAGACUCAAAACACAAAGAGGCUGCUUCUUCAAAGUCAGCAAUCAAACACCCACAGCACAAAAGCACAUUUAUCUUCAGUGGCUUGCAUUAAAACAGCACGCUAUUCAUUUGAAAAUUAAAUUUGCCCACUGAAUUAAAGAGCGGAAGAACAUAAUGGAUGGAUCUGGAUUGUCUGGGGGGCGAGAGAAGCCCUGUAAAUGAAAGGAAAUGGGAAGAGAGCUGAAAGAGAAGGUAUGCUCAGAGGUUUGCUGGAUCAAAUUGCAGUAUUGUGUUAUGUCGCUGGGGAAGAGUUUGUGUGCGUUCGUGUGAACUGGGUGUAGAGAAAGUAGAGGCUCUCCCCCAGUUUCCCAAAAAAGUUCAGUCACGUUGUAAAACCGUUAAAAAAAAAAAAGAAAAGAAAGAAAAAGAAUGCAGUGUUUUAAUGUUUUGCAUUGUUAAGCCACUUAAAACUGACCUAUAUCAUUCGAGUAUAACAAAGGCAUCUAACUCAACUCAAGGGAUGAACCAGUGUUGUCUCUAGAUAUAACAGACAACUUAGCAAAGAACCAAUUUUAAAGUCUGGCUUUUGCAAUUUGUUGCUGACAGCCUGUCGCAAAAAACACAAUUUGUUCCUAUUUCUUUAGUUGAAGCAAAAAAAAAUGCCAAAGAUAACACAGUUUGACAGGCAUAAAAUAUUACUUUUCUGACAACAAGGUAAAGGAAGAAGUGGCAGGCCAAAAAAAACAAAACUAUGUGCAGCAGAUCAACAGCAUCUGAAAGUCAUGUCCUUAAGAAACGGGGGGAAAAUCCAGCAAAGACCUGACAUCCAUCUGGCCCUUCAGUUGAUCCAUCUACUGUUCACCAAAGCCUCAUCAGAAAUACUCUCACUGAAAGGGUGGCUGUCAGGAAGGAAAGGAAGGAAAAG